rnacentral:rRNA from 1 species
AGUGAACGCUGGCGGUAGGCCUAACACAUGCAAGUCGAACGGCAGCACAGUAAGAGCUUGCUCUUACGGGUGGCGAGUGGCGGACGGGUGAGGAAUACAUCGGAAUCUACUUUUUCGUGGGGGAUAACGUAGGGAAACUUACGCUAAUACCGCAUACGACCUACGGGUGAAAGCAGGGGAUCUUCGGACCUUGCGCGAUUGAAUGAGCCGAUGUCGGAUUAGCUAGUUGGCGGGGUAAAGGCCCACCAAGGCGACGAUCCGUAGCUGGUCUGAGAGGAUGGCGCACCCACACGGGAACUGAGCCACGGCCCGGACUCCUACGGGAGGCAGCAGGGGGGAAUAUUGGACAAUGGGCGAAACCCUGAUCCAGCCAUACCGCGUGGGUGAAAAAGGCCUUCGGUUUGUAAAGCCCUUUUGUGGGGAAAGAAAAGCAGCAGUUUAAUCCCCCGCUGUUCUGACGGUACCAAAAGAAUAAGCCCCGGCUAACUUCGUG